rnacentral:rRNA from 2 species
GUGGGGAAUAUUGCACAAUGGGCGCAAGCCUGAUGCAGCCAUGCCGCGUGUAUGAAGAAGGCCUUCGGGUUGUAAAGUACUUUCAGCGGGGAGGAAGGCGAUAAGGUUAAUAACCUUGUCGAUUGACGUUACCCGCAGAAGAAGCACCGGCUAACUCCGUGCCAGCAGCCGCGGUAAUACGGAGGGUGCAAGCGUUAAUCGGAAUUACUGGGCGUAAAGCGCACGCAGGCGGUCUGUCAAGUCGGAUGUGAAAUCCCCGGGCUCAACCUGGGAACUGCAUUCGAAACUGGCAGGCUAGAGUCUUGUAGAGGGGGGUAGAAUUCCAGGUGUAGCGGUGAAAUGCGUAGAGAUCUGGAGGAAUACCGGUGGCGAAGGCGGCCCCCUGGACAAAGACUGACGCUCAGGUGCGAAAGCGUGGGGAGCAAACAGGAUUAGAAACCCUAGUAGUCC